rnacentral:rRNA from 1 species
UACGUAGGGGGCAAGCGUUGUCCGGAUUUAUUGGGCGUAAAGAGCGUGUAGGCGGCCAUACAGGUCAGCUGUGAAAACUCGAGGCUCAACCUCGAGACGUCGGUUGAAACCGUAUGGCUAGAGUCCGGAAGAGGAGAGUGGAAUUCCCGGUGUAGCGGUGAAAUGCGCAGAUAUCGGGAAGAACACCGGUGGCGAAGGCGGGUCUCUGGCCCGAUACUGACGCUGAGGCACGAAAGCGUGGGGAGCAAACAGG